rnacentral:rRNA from 1 species
ACGUACACUCCUACGGGAGGCAGCAGUGGGGAAUAUUGGACAAUGGGCGCAAGCCUGAUCCAGCCAUGCCGCGUGAGUGAUGAAGGCCCUAGGGUUGUAAAGCUCUUUCACCGGUGAAGAUAAUGACAGUAACCGGAGAAGAAGCCCCGGCUAACUUCGUGCCAGCAGCCGCGGUAAUACGAAGGGGGCUAGCGUUGUUCGGAUUUACUGGGCGUAAAGCGCACGUAGGCGGACUAUUAAGUCAGGGGUGAAAUCCCGGGGCUCAACCCCGGAACUGCCUUUGAUACUGGUAGUCUUGAGUUCGAGAGAGGUGAGUGGAAUUCCGAGUGUAGAGGUGAAAUUCGUAGAUAUUCGGAGGAACACCAGUGGCGAAGGCGGCUCACUGGCUCGAUACUGACGCUGAGGUGCGAAAGCGUGGGGAGCAAACAGGAUUAGAUACCCCGGUAGUCCCAU